UUAAGCGACUAAGCGUACACGGUGGAUGCCCUGGCAGUCAGAGGCGAUGAAGGACGUGCUAAUCUGCGAUAAGCGUCGGUAAGGUGAUAUGAACCGUUAUAACCGGCGAUUUCCGAAUGGGGAAACCCAGUGUGUUUCGACACACUAUCAUUAACUGAAUCCAUAGGUUAAUGAGGCGAACCGGGGGAACUGAAACAUCUAAGUACCCCGAGGAAAAGAAAUCAACCGAGAUUCCCCCAGUAGCGGCGAGCGAACGGGGAGGAGCCCAGAGCCUGAAUCAGUGUGUGUGUUAGUGGAAGCGUCUGGAAAGGCGCGCGAUACAGGGUGACAGCCCCGUACACAAAAAUGCACAUGCUGUGAGCUCGAUGAGUAGGGCGGGACACGUGGUAUCCUGUCUGAAUAUGGGGGGACCAUCCUCCAAGGCUAAAUACUCCUGACUGACCGAUAGUGAACCAGUACCGUGAGGGAAAGGCGAAAAGAACCCCGGCGAGGGGAGUGAAAAAGAACCUGAAACCGUGUACGUACAAGCAGUGGGAGCACGCUUAGGCGUGUGACUGCGUACCUUUUGUAUAAUGGGUCAGCGACUUAUAUUCUGUAGCAAGGUUAACCGAAUAGGGGAGCCGAAGGGAAACCGAGUCUUAACUGGGCGUUAAGUUGCAGGGUAUAGACCCGAAACCCGGUGAUCUAGCCAUGGGCAGGUUGAAGGUUGGGUAACACUAACUGGAGGACCGAACCGACUAAUGUUGAAAAAUUAGCGGACGACUCGUGGCUGGGGGUGAAAGGCCAAUCAAACCAGGAGAUAGCUGGUUCUCCCCGAAAGCUAUUUAGGUAGCGCCUCGUGAAUUCAUCUCCGGGGGUAGAGCACUGUUUCGGCAAGGGGGUCAUCCCGACUUACCAACCCGAUGCAAACUGCGAAUACCGGAGAAUGUUAUCACGGGAGACACACGGCGGGUGCUAACGUCCGUCGUGAAGAGGGAAACAACCCAGACCGCCAGCUAAGGUCCCAAAGUCAUGGUUAAGUGGGAAACGAUGUGGGAAGGCCCAGACAGCCAGGAUGUUGGCUUAGAAGCAGCCAUCAUUUAAAGAAAGCGUAAUAGCUCACUGGUCGAGUCGGCCUGCGCGGAAGAUGUAACGGGGCUAAACCAUGCACCGAAGCUGCGGCAGCGACGCUUAUGCGUUGUUGGGUAGGGAGCGUUCUGUAAGCCUGUGAAGGUGUGCUGUGAGGCAUGCUGGAGGUAUCAGAAGUGCGAAUGCUGACAUAAGUAACGAUAAAGCGGGUGAAAAGCCCGCUCGCCGGAAGACCAAGGGUUCCUGUCCAACGUUAAUCGGGGCAGGGUGAGUCGACCCCUAAGGCGAGGCCGAAAGGCGUAGUCGAUGGGAAACAGGUUAAUAUUCCUGUACUUGGUGUUACUGCGAAGGGGGGACGGAGAAGGCUAUGUUGGCCGGGCGACGGUUGUCCCGGUUUAAGCGUGUAGGCUGGUUUUCCAGGCAAAUCCGGAAAAUCAAGGCUGAGGCGUGAUGACGAGGCACUACGGUGCUGAAGCAACAAAUGCCCUGCUUCCAGGAAAAGCCUCUAAGCAUCAGGUAACAUCAAAUCGUACCCCAAACCGACACAGGUGGUCAGGUAGAGAAUACCAAGGCGCUUGAGAGAACUCGGGUGAAGGAACUAGGCAAAAUGGUGCCGUAACUUCGGGAGAAGGCACGCUGAUAUGUAGGUGAAGUCCCUCGCGGAUGGAGCUGAAAUCAGUCGAAGAUACCAGCUGGCUGCAACUGUUUAUUAAAAACACAGCACUGUGCAAACACGAAAGUGGACGUAUACGGUGUGACGCCUGCCCGGUGCCGGAAGGUUAAUUGAUGGGGUCAGCGCAAGCGAAGCUCUUGAUCGAAGCCCCGGUAAACGGCGGCCGUAACUAUAACGGUCCUAAGGUAGCGAAAUUCCUUGUCGGGUAAGUUCCGACCUGCACGAAUGGCGUAAUGAUGGCCAGGCUGUCUCCACCCGAGACUCAGUGAAAUUGAACUCGCUGUGAAGAUGCAGUGUACCCGCGGCAAGACGGAAAGACCCCGUGAACCUUUACUAUAGCUUGACACUGAACAUUGAGCCUUGAUGUGUAGGAUAGGUGGGAGGCUUUGAAGUGUGGACGCCAGUCUGCAUGGAGCCGACCUUGAAAUACCACCCUUUAAUGUUUGAUGUUCUAACGUUGACCCGUGAUCCGGGUUGCGGACAGUGUCUGGUGGGUAGUUUGACUGGGGCGGUCUCCUCCUAAAGAGUAACGGAGGAGCACGAAGGUUGGCUAAUCCUGGUCGGACAUCAGGAGGUUAGUGUAAUGGCAUAAGCCAGCUUGACUGCGAGCGUGACGGCGCGAGCAGGUGCGAAAGCAGGUCAUAGUGAUCCGGUGGUUCUGAAUGGAAGGGCCAUCGCUCAACGGAUAAAAGGUACUCCGGGGAUAACAGGCUGAUACCGCCCAAGAGUUCAUAUCGACGGCGGUGUUUGGCACCUCGAUGUCGGCUCAUCACAUCCUGGGGCUGAAGUAGGUCCCAAGGGUAUGGCUGUUCGCCAUUUAAAGUGGUACGCGAGCUGGGUUUAGAACGUCGUGAGACAGUUCGGUCCCUAUCUGCCGUGGGCGCUGGAGAACUGAGGGGGGCUGCUCCUAGUACGAGAGGACCGGAGUGGACGCAUCACUGGUGUUCGGGUUGUCAUGCCAAUGGCACUGCCCGGUAGCUAAAUGCGGAAGAGAUAAGUGCUGAAAGCAUCUAAGCACGAAACUUGCCCCGAGAUGAGUUCUCCCUGACCCUUUAAGGGUCCUGAAGGAACGUUGAAGACGACGACGUUGAUAGGCCGGGUGUGUAAGCGCAGCGAUGCGUUGAGCUAACCGGUACUAAUGAACCGUGAGGCUUAACCUU
rnacentral:rRNA from 1 species